rnacentral:rRNA from 1 species
UACGUAGGGGGCAAGCGUUGUCCGGAAUCAUUGGGCGUAAAGAGCGUGUAGGCGGCUCGAUAAGUCUGCUGUGAAAGUCCAGGGCUCAACCCUGGAAGGCCGGUGGAAACUGUCGGGCUAGAGUCCGGAAGAGGCGAGUGGAAUUCCCGGUGUAGCGGUGAAAUGCGCAGAUAUCGGGAGGAACACCAAUGGCGAAGGCAGCACUCUGGGACGUGACUGACGCUGAGACGCGAAAGCGUGGGGAGCAAACAGG